rnacentral:tRNA from 1 species
CGGGGUAUAGCGCAGCUUGGUAGCGCGCCUGCCUUGGGAGCAGGAGGCCAGGGGUUCAAAUCCCUUUGCCCCGACCA